rnacentral:rRNA from 1 species
AUUGAACGCUGGCGGCAUGCCUUACACAUGCAAGUCGAACGGUAACAGGUCUUCGGAUGCUGACGAGUGGCGAACGGGUGAGUAAUACAUCGGAACGUGCCCGAUCGUGGGGGAUAACGGAGCGAAAGCUUUGCUAAUACCGCAUACGAUCUACGGAUGAAAGCAGGGGACCGCAAGGCCUUGCGCGGACGGAGCGGCCGAUGGCAGAUUAGGUAGUUGGUGGGAUAAAAGCUUACCAAGCCGACGAUCUGUAGCUGGUCUGAGAGGACGACCAGCCACACUGGGACUGAGACACGGCCCAGACUCCUACGGGAGGCAGCAGUGGGGAAUUUGGACAAUGGGCGAAAGCCUGAUCCAGCCAUGCCGCGUGCAGGAUGAAGGCCUUCGGUUGUAACUGCUUUGUACGGAACGAAAAGAACUACCUUCUAAUAAAGGAGUACAUGACGGUACCGUAAGAAUAAGACACCGGCUAACUACGUAGCCAGCAGCCGCGGUAAAA